GUAAAAGGUGGCCUCUUACUUUGUAAAGCUAACNGNUAAAGGAUGAGCCCNCGUUAGAUUAGCUAGUUGGUGGGGUAAAGGCCUACCAAGGGGACGAUCUAUAGCUGGUUUGAGAGGAUGAUCAAGCCACCACUGGGACUGAGACCACGGGCCCGAGACUCCUACGGGAGGCAGCAGUGGGGAAUAUUGCCCAAUGAGGGAAACCUUGAUGCAGCCAUGCCGCGUGUGUGAAGAAGGCCCGAGGGUUGUAAAGCACUUUCAAUUGUGAGGAAAGGUUAGUCGCUAAUAUCGGCUAGCUGUGACGUUAACUUUAGAAGAAGCACCGGCUAACUCUGUGCCAGCAGCCGCGGUAAUACAGAGGGUGCAAGCGUUAUUCGGAAUUACUGGGCGUAAAGCGCGCGUAGGCGGACUGUUAAGUCGGUUGUGAAAGCCCUGGGCUCAACCUAGGAAUUGCAUCCGAUACUGGCAAUCUAGAGUUUAGGAGAGGGAAGUGGAAUUCCGGGUGUACCAGUGAAAUGCGUAGAUAUCAGUAGGAUCAUCAGUGGCAAAGGCGGCUUCCUGGCCUAAAACUCCCGUUGAGGCGCGAAAGUGUGGGUAGCGGCCGGGAUUAGAUUGCCUGGUAGUC
rnacentral:rRNA from 1 species